ensembl:misc_RNA Y_RNA Y RNA
GGCUGGUCCAAGUGCAGUGGUGUUUACAAUUAAUUGAUCAUAGUCAGUUACAGAUUUCUUUGUUCCUUUUCCACUCCCACUGCUUCACUUGGGGCUAGAGCAUAA